rnacentral:rRNA from 1 species
GCGUCAGUCGCAAGAUGAAGCGUUGAAUUGAAGCCUGAGUAAACGGCGGCCGUAACUAUAACGGUCCUAAGGUAGCGAAAUUCCUUGUCGGUUAAAUACCGACCUGCAUGAAUGGCGUAACGAGAUGGGAGCUGUCUCAACCAGAGAUUCAGUGAAAUUGUAGUGGAGGUGAAAAUUCCUCCUACCCGCGGCAAGACGGAAAGACCCCGUGGACCUUUACUACGACUUAGCACUG